UUAAAAACGUCAAAACCGUGAAAGUACUGUUUCGCAAGACAUCGCUUUAUUUACAUUUAAUGAAGCGAUUUAAGAGAGGAUAUGAGAAAAGGAGGAAUGUAAACACGUGGCAGAAAGGCAGAUUUGAUAGAAAGAAUGUGAAGGCGUCCAGCCUCUGCUGUCUGAACCUAAAAGUGGAAUGUAUGGUAUAACGUGUUAUGGCCUUCAAGAUGUGUUAACAACUUCAGUCAUAACAUUGAGAUCUGCCUUGUAUCUGUGUUCAACAAAUAGAUGUGUACUUUAUGCGCAGACUUGCAGGUCAACUAGAACUUCAAACUGUAGAUAAAUGGCACAGAAGAAGUUUUAAAUUCCCACUAUGAAUAACUGGGAGGCACAGGGUACCACGGGAUGUGUAAACAUUAAGCUUCAGUGUUCCUGAUGUUACACCAUUUUGCUGCAGGCAAUCUUGAAUAGACUGAUGAUCAGGAGAUCAAAUACAGAAAAUAUCCAAAAAUUUCAUAAUUUAGCCAAAAUAUUCAUUUUUCAGCCUCUCCGAUUGAAGCAGCAGAUCACUGAAGAAAGAAAUUUUAAUGACUUCUUUGAUAACUCCUGGCCAGAACCAUUAUAGAAAUAAUCAUGGAUUCCAUGAUAGGGACAGGAAUAUGGUCAUCAACUACUGUUUAAAUACUUCAAUUUCUUGACUGUGGAUCAUGAAUUCAAUGAAAUUGUAUUGAAAAUGAAUUCAAAGCGAGAUCAGUUGUACAUCUCUUAAUGAGAACUUCACUUCUCUGAUACAUCUCUUUUACAUUCUCAGAUUUGUUAAUUCAAAAAGAUUUUAAUCCUGUUUAUUUAAAAUUGGAUCUCCUCUAUUCAUUUUAAUACUACAGGAAAUAUCUUAGCAUCGUUUGUUAUAUGUAAAAGAUAAAUGUAUAACCAUCUACACAAUUACUACAGCUACUAAUCACCAGAUUUUUGCAUUCCCUCUGUAGAAAGACAUGUAUUAAGUAAAUGAAUUUAUCUACAAUUCUUGCAAUUAUAUUCCAACUUUUUUGUCCAGGUGAUCAAGCCUUGAAUAUAUUUAAGGAAGCUCCAAACACUAAUGAAAAAUGUUUUAAGAAAGUUGUAUCAAAUAAAGGUGUACAUAUUGA